GGGUGCGGCUUACACUCAAAAUUCAAUUUGCAGGCAGGGGAAGCGGGGAAGGCCGUGUGAAUCGGCCGCGGUCCCGCCACUGUGAUCGGCUCAAGAGCCGUAAGCCAGGCCACCCUUCCGUGCCGCAGAGGGCCG
rnacentral:ncRNA from 1 species